GACAGAGGGUGCGAACGUUGCUCGGAAUCACUGGGCGUAAAGCGCGUGUAGGCGGACUUGAAAGUCAGGUGUGAAAUCCCUGGGCUCAACCCAGGAACUGCAUCUGAAACUGCUCGUCUAGAGUGUCGGAGAGGGAAGCGGAAUUCCUGGUGUAGAGGUGGAAUUCGUAGAUAUCAGGAGGAACACCGGUGGCGAAGGCGGCUUCCUGGACGACUACUGACGCUGAGACGCGAAAGCGUGGGGAGCAAACAGG
rnacentral:misc_RNA from 1 species